AAUAAGAAGGGGUUUGCAAGUAUUUUCUAUAAGAGGACAGAUAGUUUAAAUUCUAGGCUUUGCAGUCCAUUUUUUGAUAUUUGUUUCAAUUACUCAAUUCUUCUUUCCAGCUCGAAAGCUGCAUAGACAAUAUGUAAAAGAAUGAGCAUGGCCAUUUUCCAAUAAAACUUACAGAAACUGGUGGCAGGCCAUAUUUGUUCUGUGAUUCUUGGUUUCUUGACCCCUAUCAUAUAUUUAAAAACUGGCAACAAAUCUAAUACUUUAAAGGACUUUUUCUAUUAACCAACCACCAUUUCCAGAAUAUAUUUAUUAUAGGCCAAAGGUUCAGCUAAAGUAGAAGUGCAGUGAAGCAGAACUUGAAUUCUGCAAAUGUAUUAAAAAAUUCUUUUAAAUACGGAACAUUUAUCUUGAAUUUCUUAUCUCAAAAUUCAGUGGCCUACCAAAGGUGGAACAGUAGGAACAGUCCAACAGGGUGCAGGCGACUCAAAACAAGGAGUCACAUCCUGAUAUAACUUACAUAAUAGAAUGAAGACACUGGCAACUUUCUUGAGAAUCCAUUGCAAUGAAUUGUGGGAGAACAACAGUAGAAUGUGGACACUGAUUAGGAAGAUGCUAUUGUAAAAAUGUAGACAAGACGUAAUGAUAAUAAUGGCUGCUUGGAUAUGAAUGGCAACAGAGGGUGUCGUGAGAAGAGGCUUCAUAUUCUGGAUAUAUUUUGAAUAUAAACUCAUUAAUUUCCAAAGAUUUUGAAUCUUGGAUGAGAGAAAAAAUAAAUCAAGAAAAAUUCCAAGGUUUUGUCCUGAAUAACUGAAAUGGAAUUGCCAUCAACUGAGAGAUGGUGAAGACUGAAACAUAAAUAGGUCUGGAGAUACUAGUAGUUUUUGUUUUGUUUUGUUUGUUUUGAGGCAGUCUCGUUCUGAUGUCUAGGCUGGAGUAUAGUGGCAUGAUCUCAGUUCACUGCAACCUCUGCCUCCCUUGGUUCAAGAGAUGCUACUGUCUCAGCCUCCUGAGUAUUUGAGAUUGCAGGCGUGCACCACCAUGCCUGGUUAAUUUUCACAUUUUUAAUAGAAAUGGGGUUUUGCCAUGCUGGACUCAAACUCCUGACCUCAAGUGAUCCACUCGCCUCCGCCUCCCAAAGUGCUGGGAUUAAAGGCGUGAGCCACCGUUCCCAGUCAUAUCAGUAGUUUAAAACUGGGCAUAUUGAGUAUGAGAUGUUUGCUAGGCCCCCAGGUGCUGACAUCAAGGAGCUAGUUUAAUAUAUGAGUUUGGUUGUUAGGAUAUAAAGAAAAAUAAAACUCAUGAAACUAAAUGAGAUCACCAAAAGACAGAGUAUAUAGAACUAAGAAUGGAACCCUUAAAUAUUCCAAUAUUAGAAAGUUAGAAGAGGAUAAAGCUACAACGAUGCUCAAGAAGGCGGCGGCAGAGAGGUGCUAUCUAUUGCAAGAAAACCUGUCAACUCAAUGAAAGUGUUUCAAAAAAGAAAAGCUGCAUUAAACAUGUGCCGAUUUUAAAAACACAUCUUAAUUUAAGAAACAUUAAAAUAGAAAAAAAAUUUACAUAUCUCAAUUGAUGUAAUUCACUAAUGUCUACCCAAAAGGAGAGCUAAACAUAUUAAAACAGAACAGAGAAUGUAUAAAACAAAUGAAUAAAACAAGAUGUGAAAUAUUCCAAAGUAAAACUGUAUAUUCUGUUUUAGAAAAUGUCACUGCAUGUAAAAAUGGCUGGCUUUUGAUCAGAGAUGGCUUUCAAUUGCAACUCAGCAUGCUUUGUCUCUGAACAGCUUUGCAAAAACACAAUAGCUUCUAUAUCUCUGUUGUAGUUUGAUAAUAUCUGCCCUCCCAAUUAAUCGUCUCAUCUUUUCAUCAAUUAUUACAUUUUCCACCUUUUGAGUUGAAGAUAUCUUUGCUUGGUUGCAUAUAGGCAAAAUUAAGCUUAAGGACAAAGGUACAUUAUUUAAGGGACUUGCAAUUAUUUGUGUUAUUAUUAAAUAAAGAACAGAGGACUAUUAAGGCAAAGUUGAAAUUUCCAGAAUAUCACCAUCCUAUGAAAGUCAUCGAUCAGUCACCACAACAUGGCCUAAUUGACCACAAGUACUCAGAGGCUUUCAGUAACUUCACAAGGUCUAUAUUGCAAUAGCAAUGAAUACCCUACACCUCCAGAAGAAGAUGAAGAGUAAAAAGUUACACACCAAGUCUAGUAUUUCAAAGUUUAUAUCUAAUCUCCAGAGGAAAAAAAUUAAGUUAUAUCUUUUUAGAGUAUUAGAAAAGUAUCAUAGCAUGUUAUGUAGCCAUGCAAGUUAGAGAAAAAUAAAAUCACAUUUAGAGGUAACACUGCAAUUUGCAAUUAGAAAUUGAAACAAUGUUAUCUCUAUUUUAAAUGCUAGCUCUCAUUGAAUAGUGAAUUUCAUGUUGAUUAUAUUCUAAUUCUCCAGCUUAUAUAUCUUCAAAAUCUUUUCAAAGUGUACUGUACAAUAAAAAAUCACAAAAUUAACUUUUACAUAAAGAGGUUAAUUUGAACCCAAUGCAGAAAAAUAGUACUAAGCAUAAUUUUUAUAUUCUGUAUCUAACAAUCUAGGCACAAAAUCAAAUGUGCCAUUUUCACUUCAUGGCUAUAUAGGACUUUAAUGUCUCAACAGUGAAUCAGUGACCUACAAGAGUGUCAUUAUUUUUGAUAAUAGUGCACAAGCUAUUAAACUUAUGCCAUGGCAAACCAAACAAUUUGGUUAUCUUGCAAUUUUUUAAUGAUGAGUGCAUUAGUGGAGAUCAUCUAAUCUACAAGAACGGAGGUGAAACAGACACACAGCUCCCUAGAGAAAUUUAAAAAGUAAAAACAAGUAUUGUAAAGACUACUGAAAAACAUAUAUUUUGGGGUAUACAGCUCUUUGUUUUGGAUAUCUGUGUUCUGUUUUCAUGACCAUUAUGGUCUCUUUUCAUGACCAUUUUGAGUGGCUUAAGUGUGGCCAGUUACAGACUAAUGGAGAUUUUUUAAGUUGUUAAAUGUUGAGUGAAAUUGGAGAGGCUACUUGUUUGCAAACAAGGACAAAUAAACAGGACAAUUAUUUAACAGUUUAAAAAGGAAACCAGAAAGCUAUUAUUUAAGCAUAAAUGAACACACAAAAAUAUCAUAAACAAAAUAAAAUUGGUUGUGCUAAAUAUUCACUAUAACCAGAUCAGCAAAGCAUUUUUACUAAAGAUCAGGAUUAAACAUAGAAAUAACUUGAUUACACAGGAUACUUUUUCACUAAUGCUAUCUAUUAUGGGAUAUUGUCUUUAUCCUCAUUUGAAAAAAUUAAACAAAGGAGAGCUGUAUUCCUCUGCUCUCAACAAUGUGGUUCUACUCAUCAAUUUAUUAUUUUUAAAAAUUUCUGGUUUUGUUAAGUACUAAAAGUGUAAGCAUAUUAUUUAAAGAAAAUCUACUACUGAAUAAACUUACCAAUUUUCCUUUCACAGCUUUGGAUAUAAGUAUGAGACCAAUAUUAGAAUAACAUGUUCUUGCAAAGUUCCUUUCUUAAUUUUUAGUUUGCUUUUUCUCUUUUACAAAUGAGGUAUCAUUUACAUACAUUAAAAUAUAUAACACUCAAAUAUUCAAUUUUAUGAGAGUUGAUAAUUGUAUAUAUCUAUACCACAGCAUCCAAUCACAAUAUAGAACAUUUCUACCACUGAGAAUAUUUUCUUGUCAAUUCCCAGUGAAAUCUCAUCCUUGGCCUUCAGACAAUCAUCUUUUUAACUUAUAUUUCCAUAUAUUAGUUUUACUGUUUUAGAUACUCAUACAAAUGAAAUAUAAUGUGAACUCUUUUGUGCCUACCUUCGUAUGAUUUGCAUAAUGCCUGUAGUAUUUAUCAAUGUUUGUACAUCUAUUCUUUCUUUUUUAUUGCCGAGUAUGCUGUUGUAUGAAUAUAUCAUCACUAUCCAAUCAUUUUUUAUCCAUUGUCUCAUAGAUAUUCAGAUUCUAAGUUGAAAUUAUAUUUAAAUUGCAUUGUAAAUAGAAUUUCUAUGAACAUUCAUAAUA
rnacentral:lncRNA from 1 species